AUAACUUAAUGAGUAAUGACCGUUUUUUUUGGAAAUCCACAAAAUUAUAAAUUUAACCCAGAUAAGCUUAAUUAUUUAAACUUUAAACUAUAGUUUAUAGUUCUUUUUAGCUUAUUAAUCCAAGUAAAAGUGCAAACAUAAUUUUGAUUUCAGACCUUUUGUUCUGUAUUUUGUGAUGAUCUUCUGAACAAGUAAAGCUUUACCACUUGUACAUCAUAAUUUUACAUUAUGAAGGCUUUUUUGGAAUUGGUACGUGACCGUUUCACCAAGGUUGACUUAAUGCAUUUAGAUGAUAUUGAUGAUGAAAAUCUCCAAUUAUUGAUAUUCCAGAAUGGGCCAAGCAGGGAUGAAUUGAUAAAGGUUUUGAUAUAUAAAUUGUUGUUGGAUACUGAUCCUGAGUCUGAAUGCUCAAAUACAUAUGAUUUAGAAUAUAUACUUGUGUCAUUUGGUUUGUUGGACAAAAUAGCUGCACAAAAUUUUUUAAAGGGUAAUAUGUCAAUUAAGUUACAUACAGCUACAUGGAAAAAAAUUAUUGAAUCUUUGAUACCAACUACAACAGUCGCAAUUCCGAGUUAUGAUGAACUAAUGAAUGAUAUUUACGAAAAGAGUAAUUAUUUUCGAUCUGCUGAAAAGAAAAAUUAUCUUCCUCCAGAACUUAUAUCAAAGUUAAAAGUUGAAACAGAAUUAAACGAAAACAGUGAAAGUAUUGAUGACAUUUCAGACCAGUUAAUCAAGAUCAUAAAUAAACCAAUAUUACCUAAUGAAAAUAUUGAUUUUAAAACAUCCUCAGAUUGUGAGGAACAACCACCAGAUACAAGCUCAGAAUUUAUGGAUUUGACAUCAAUAAAAAAAGAAGUUGAUCAAUGUAUUAAGAUUUCAAAUAAUAAAAACAUAACUCCAUUAAGUAAUGAGGGCGCAAUCAAAAUUUCUACACAAGAGUUUCUUGAAAUAAUAGAUAAACGAAAUUUAAUUCAUUCUGAUAAUUUAGAAUCAAAAAUAGAAGAUAUCUAUAAGCUUAUGAAAGCUGAACAAGAUUUACAAAUUUUAGCAGAUUCACUUAUAGCUCAGGUAUAAUACUACAAAUUAUUUAUUAAAUUUGUAAUACCUACUAAUAAUACAAUAAUAACAAGUCUACGUAGGAUAGCAGAGAAUGUCAGAGAAACACAAUGUGUCAUCAUAAACAAUAGUUAAUAAUAUUUAAAUUAAAUUUGUAUAGUAAUAUUUUGAAAAUCCACAUAUUUUUGAGUGAGAAGUUUUAUAUUUUCUACAUUUUUAUUUGUUAUCUAAUGUUUAGUAAGAAAGAUUCAUAUGGUAAAUUAUUUGAUACUUAUAAAAUAAUAUAAAAUUAUAUAUUAUAUUGAAUUUUUAAUUUCUUACAUAUUCCUUUAUAUUAUACUAAUUGUAGUAUAAAAAUAUAGAAAUAUUUAGAUACAAUUUGUGGACUUUUCAAUACAAUUAUAAUGAAAAACUUGUUUGUAAUUUUACUUUUUUGAAAAUUCCACUCUAAAUGCUUGCACUUGGUAAUAGUUGUAAAUGGUAGUAAUAUGUUUAAAGCUCUAUUUAUUAUGGAAGUAAAAUUAGUAUUAAUAAUAUGUUUACAAUAUUAAGAUUUUUUUACAACAUUUAAAAUACACCAAACUUUAUUAUUAAUAUUGGUAUUUAAUAUUUAAGUCUUCACUUUUAAACUUAAGAUGUAAUUUUUGAGUUUUCAGGGUUAUUUAAAGUUAAAAUAUUAAUGUGUUUAAGUUAAGUUUUAAGUUUAUAUUUUUUAUAUUAAAAAAAAAAAAAUUGAAUAAUGUAAUAAUAUAUAUUUGAAUAUUAUGUAAAAAA
rnacentral:misc_RNA from 1 species